UACGUAGGGGGGCGAGCGUUGUCCGGAGUUACUGGGCGUAAAGGGCAUGCAGGCGGUCGGACGCGUUUCGGGUGACAGCGGGUGGCUUAACUACCCGAGUGGUCGAAAGACGGUUUGACUUGAGGACGCGAGAGGGACACGGAAUUCCGGGUGGAGUGGUGAAAUGCGCAGAUAUCAGGAAGAACACCUAUGGCGAAAGCAGCUCUCUGGGACGGUACUGACGCUGAGGAGCGAAAGCCAGGGGAGCAAACGGGG
rnacentral:rRNA from 1 species